rnacentral:rRNA from 1 species
UACGUAGGGCGCAAGCGUUGUCCGGAAUUACUGGGCGUAAAGCGCACGUAGGCGGCUUGGUAUGUCGGGUGUGAAAUCCCCGGGCUCAACCUGGGAACUGCAUCCGAAACUGCCUUGCUCGAGUAUGGGAGAGGGAAGUGGAAUUUCCGGUGUAGCGGUGAAAUGCGUAGAUAUCGGAAGGAACAUCAGUGGCGAAGGCAGCUCUCUGGGACGGUACUGACGCUGAGACGCGAAAGCGUGGGGAGCGAACAGG